GACGAACGCUGGCGGCGUGCUUAACACAUGCAAGUCGAACGGAAAGGCCCUGCUUUUGUUGGGUGCUCGAGUGGCGAACGGGUGAGUAACACGUGAGUAACCUGCCCUUGACUUUGGGAUAACUUCAGGAAACUGGGGCUAAUACCGGAUAGGAGCUCCUGCUGCAUGUUGUGGUUGGGAGAGUUUCGGCGGUUGGGUGUGGUCUCGCGGUGUAUGAGCUUGUUGGUGGGGUAGUGGCUUCCCGAGGCUUUGACGUGUAGGCGGACUGAGAGGGUGACAGGCCACAGGGGGACUGAGAUACCGCCCAGACUCAUACGGGACACAGAAGGGGGGUAUAUUGCACUAUGGGCGGAAGUCUGAUGCAGCAACGCCGCGUGCGGGAUGACGGCCUUCGGGGUGUACACCGCUUUCGACUGUGACGAAGCGUGAGUGACGGUAAUGGGUAAAGAAGCACCGGCUAACUACGUG
rnacentral:rRNA from 1 species